AUGGAGAAUUAUCGUAUUGUAAUGAGAAGUUCCAGUUUUCCAGACUGCAACUGUAGAAAUGACAAGGACACCUGCUAAGAAGGCCAGUAAUCUGUCGUGAAUGAGGAAAUUCAUGGAUAGUGGCAGCGAGAUUUAGCAUGAAGCAUUUAACUUGUUUUCUCUAUUGUAAUUCAUGUCGCUAGAGGUAAUAGAAUUGCACUUGCACCUGCUGACUGCUGUUCUUUCCAGCAUUUAUAGAUCGAGAUAUGACUUGGUUGAAAGGAAAAAUCGCAGAGUCAACCUUGUUUUUUUUUUUUUAGUAGUUAAAAUUUUAUUAAGAAAAAGGUUACAAAAAUAAUAGUCUAACUUACAUCAGAUGAACAAGCAAAGAAAACAAAAGCACAAAAACUGUUGUAUGAAAUAGGAUAGAGCAACAAAUGGGGGGAGCAAACAAAUCAUAAGAAACCAACUCCUCCCGACUAAACAUUCUCUAUAUUAAGCUCUAAAGAGUUGGAAUCAAGCCUCAGCCAUAAAGCAAUACUUUGGCGCACCAUGGAGAAACAGAUUUGAAGGUUAGGGGCAGCGUCAUUAAAAAUAACAUCAUUUCGGUGAAGCCAAAGAUUCCAAACAACGAAUGAGAAAAGAAGAUGCCAUGAGAGAUUCUGCUGCUUGUCUUUAACCAUAGAAGACCAUUGGUAGCACAUAUCAACAACAGAUUUUGGAAAAACAGUGCAAAAGCCCCGAUUAGAAAGCAGUUUCAUCCAUAUAUUCCAAGUGAAGUGGCAGUGAAUGAAGAGGUGACUUGAAGAUUCCAAGCUUUUAUUGCAGAAAGCGCAUCUUGACUCAUGAAGGGUGAUGUAGUCAUGCUGAAAUAGAAAAUCUCUUGUGGUUACUUUGUCUUGGACAAGGAGCCAAAGGAAAAGUUGCACUUUUGGUGGGGUUAGUUUUAUCCAAAUAGAAGAUUGGAAUGGUUUGGCACCACCGUAGAGCAGCUGGUCCAUCAUUUGGAGCAAGAUUUUACACUGAAGAGGUCAUCGCUGUUGAGGGUCUAGAUUUUCUUAUCCAUCUUGUGGCAGAACAUUGGCUUGGAUUCCAGCAAGGAUGAUAAAAAUGAUAGUUGUUCUUGUUCAAAAUGAAAUAGAGGUCUGCGCCAUUGUAGGGACCAGAGCCAGAUUCCAUUGCUCCAUCUACCCAUGUCAGCCACCAAAGCAGAUUUAGAGAAAGACAAAAGAUAUAGCUUAGGGAAGGCUGUUUUGAGAGGUAGUCACCAAUCCAGUUAUCUAGCCAAAAUGAUGUUAAACUACCAUUCUCCACCAUGAAUUUGCAAUGAUUCGUGAAGACGUGGUGAGCGUCGGUUUGAACAAUGGACAUAAUAUCCUUCCAGAUCUUGGAGGGUUGGUUGUAGAAAAUUAGGAUCCCAUUCUCAUAAGCUGGAUUGUACAUUGAAGAGAUAAUCAUUUUCCAUAAACUUGUACCUGGGGAAGAGAGUCUCCAAAUCCAUUUUAGCAGCAGGGCUCUGUUUUUUGAUAUAAGGGAGCUUACACCGAGGCCUCCUUAUUUCUUAUUGCGCAUCACUAGUCUCCAUUGGAUCUUGUAGAAAGAUCUUUGCUUGGUACAUCCAUACCACAAGAAAGGUCUUUGGAUGGAUGAAAGAAGCCUGCCUACCCCUUUUAGCAUCUUGAAUACAGACAUAAAAUAUAUAGACAGGGAAUUAAAGACACUUUUAAUGAGACAUGCUUAGUAAUCUUCCUUUUCACAUAUGAAGCCUUUUACGAAACUUCUCUAUCACUGGCUUCCAUGUAGAGAUACAAGAUGGAUUGGCUUCUAGUGGCAUGCCAAGAUAUUUUCUUGGGAGGGAGUCUGAUAUGCAGAAAAUAGAUUUAGCCAAGCGCAAGCACAAGUGAUCGUCGACAUUGAUACCAAUAAUAGAGCUUUUAUGGAAGUUUAUAUGAAGGCCUGAAGUCAGAGCAAACCAUCUUAAAAUUCUUUUGACUUGAACUAACUUAUCAAUAUCUGUCAGGAUGAAUAUUAACGUGUCAUCUGCAUAUUGUAGAUGGCUGAUGAAAAUUCCUGAUGCAAAUUACAGCCCUUUGAUAAUAUUCCUACUAGAUGCCCUUUGAAAGAGGACCGAGAGGCCCUCAGCAGCUAUGUCAAACAGAAAAGGGGAAAUCGGGUCUCUUUGACGCAGUCCUCGCCGAACAGGGAAUUCUUUUGAAGGAGAUCCAUUGAUGAGGACCGAGAGUUUUGAUGAAGAAAGACAUUCAUAAAUCAUGGUUCUCCAUUUUCUGCCAAACCCCAUAUAACCCAUGAUAUAAUCUAGGUAAUCCCAGGAGACUGAGUCGAAGGCUUUAUAGAAAUCAAUCUUGAAAAUCAGACCUGCCGCUUUUCGAUUUUUUAGAUCACUCACCAGCUCAUUUGCAAUCAUAAAGCCAUCUAUAAUGUUGCGAUCUGCUAUAAACGCUGAUUGGUUAAUGCUAAUGAUAUCUUGCAUAACAGCUUUCAGUCUGGAUGCAAGGAUUUUGGCAAUGAUCUUGUAGAUACCAUGAAUCAUGCUGAUGGGCUGAAAAUCUUUAAACUCUAUGGGUUCUACUGUCUUGGAGAGGAUAAUUACGUAGGUUGUAUUGAUUCCUUUGGGUAGCCUUCCUGUUCUAAAGAAGCUUAAGACUACAUCGAGGAUGUCUUGAGCAAUAAAAUCCCAUGCUAAUCUAUAGAAUUUGAAGUUGAAACCAUCUGGUCCAGGACAUUUUGACCCAUCACAACCCCAUACACUGCGCUUCACUUUUUCCAUUGUGAUUUCCUGCUCCAGCCACUCAGAGGAUUCUUUAGAGAGGCAUUUGAAACCCAAAAGAUUUAACUACAGCUUUUUUUCAAAGAGGGAGUCAUACAGAUCAGAGAAAUAAUCCACAGCAGCCUGCUUAAUACCCUGCUGAGAAUCAAAAGUGUUGCCAUUAUGGUGGAUUUUAAGGAUAGAUGAUUUAGCCUUCCUGAAAUUAGCAAUCACGUGAAAAAACUUGUUAUUUCUGUCACCCAAUUUGCACCAUAUCUGUCUUGAUUUCUGCCUCCAAAUAGAUUCAAUGUGAUUGUUGCGAACCUAAGGUCUUUCAACAAAAAGUCUAAAUGCUCCUGCUCUUGGUCGGUUAAACCUUCUUCUUCACAUUUUUCCUCUAGUAUGUUGAUAGCUAAAAAGGUUCGUUGAAGGGCAGCUUCUUGAUUUCCAAAUUCAAGCUUAUUCCAUUGCCUCAAUUUGACUGCAAUAUGAUUGAGCUUUUUGAGAACUUUAAAGCGGCCAGGGUGAAGGGAGCAUGCAUCAUUCCAGAAGUUUUCAAUAAUGUGCUUGAAAUUUGGGUACUGAGUCCAAGAGUCCAAGAAACAAAAAGGACGCCAUUCAUGGUCCUGCAAGAAGUUAGAUAGAAUUAAAGGGCAAUGAUCCGAGAACUCUCUUGGAAGUCAUCGAAGAGAUAAACUAGGGAAGUGAAGAUGGCAGGAUGAGUUUGCGAACAUACGGUCCAGUUUGCUCUUGGACCCUCCUCUGAACUAGGUAAAAUAACCUUCUGCUAAAGGGUAUUCAGUGAGCUCACAAGACUGCAGAAAUCUGCUAAAAGAAUUUGAGCCUGCAGGAUGACAGAUUCCACUAUUUCUGUCUUUCUGUGAGAGUGUUUCAUUAAAAUCUCCUGGUAUUAUCCAGGGAACUUCAAAAGCAUGCUUAAGAAGAAUGAGAUCAUCUCAAAGUUUUUGUCUGUCCUGAUAGUUACAAGGAGCAUAAAUGCCAAUAACAAAGCAAUGAAAAUCAUUAUGAACAUGUUUACCAUAUAAAUCGAUCCAACCAUGACCAUAUUCAAUAUUAGAGACUUCAAAGUUAGUGUUUUUCCACAUAGCAAGCAAACCUCAUUUUGAUCCCUGAGCAUCAUCACUAAACCAAGUCACAUGAUUUUCAUUCCAAAUACGAGAUACAAAGCCAAUGAAACAAUUAGCUAGCUUAGUUUCCAGCAAUAAACAUAUAUCAAUCUUAUAUUCUGUUAUUAAUUUCGUGAUUCUUCUUCGUUUCCUCAUCAUGCCCAAGCCACAAGAAUUCCAAGAAAGAAUAUUCAUGACAAAAUUAAAAGAUCUAUCUGCAAGGACAUGAAUGAAAACUUACUAUUCAUUGUUGUUUCUGCCAAUUUUCCCUCUUCUUUUCUAGCUGCCUUAUGAUAAGCCCAUAAAAUUUUUUCAAGAGAGCUGAAUUACCAAGAUCCAGAGCUUUUCCCAAAUGGAUCAUUUUGUUGACUUCAUUGUGAGACGACUCCGCUGCAGAUUCCUUCAGGUUACAAGUAUUAUUUACCCUGAUAUAAGAGUCUAUAGAAGAUAUGCUUGCUAAAGAGUGCAGGGAGAUGAGACUCCCGGUAGAGGAUAUUUUCUUUAGUCUUGGUUGUUUGGUUGUUGUGGUCCAGUGUUGGUUGGGUGUAAGAGGCAGGUUUUGAGCUUUGCAGUGGGAUUCUAAAGAUUUAUCAUUGCUGACAGGGGUAUAAGGUUGUGGCGAGAAAGAGUCUCUUUUGAAGGCCAAGCUUUAAUGCUCCAGUGGCCUUGCUGAAUUCACAUCGUAUAAGACAAGGCCCGUUCUGCUUGGAGUUGAUUUUGGGAAAGCUUGUUGGUAGAGAAACAGUGGUGGGGAGUCCUAGUAGCCGCUAUUUCUGGAAAGAGAUCUUCAACAACCAUAUGUAGCUGUUAUGUGUUGUCAAUGACAUUUAUUGUGGCCGGAAAGCUAUGAUCGUAGACCUCAUAUGUCCUAUGUGGGUUGUGCUUUCUUGCCUCCAGCGUGUGUGCCUUGUCAUCAGCUUCAAAAUUCUUAUCAGCAAUAGCCAGCCUGCAAAUGUUGUCAUCUCCUGCCAAGUCAAAAGCCAGAUCAGUGUACACUUCAUCAUCUGAGUCACUGUCAGCAUCUUCUCCCUGAAGUAAUGUGGUUUGAAAUUCUGUCAUAGAGUAUGAAAUUCCUUUUGCCUCUGGAUAUCUUAAAGGGUCAAUCUCAUCUAGCUGUAUGUGUACUAACUUGGAGUUUAGCAUGAGAUCUAUAGAGUCGUGGAUCUCCGGCAAGUGAGUACCUAUAAGGAUUUUCACGCUGUGAAGUUCAGAGUUUAGCAUGAGAUCUAUAGAGUCGGGGAUUUCCGACCGCUGCAGAGUCAACCUUGUUGGGGAUUCCAAAGGGAAAAUAUGAUGGUUUAACAGUUAAGAUUUGGUCAUCAAUGCAAUUAGUUGAGGUUCGGGUUUGGAAGAGGUUAAAAAAACUGCAGCGGCCGGAGCCUAAUCUGAUGAAGAGUGGGUACCCUAGGUUGGUUCAGUGGAACAAAUUGAAACUGGAAGUUUAGAAUAUUUCCUUGGUUCUAGACUCUGAAAAAGAGAGUUUUAGCUCUGGAAAACUGGGAUUUCCUCAAGUUUUGUGGAGAAAAAGAAAUGUAGGAGACUGUUGGUUCUAGUUUGAAUGACGAUUUAAUGGCAUUUGCUCGACGCGUCAGGAUUUCAAUGCUGCGUGGAGUUGGCUUUUCAUAACAGUAUUGACCGCAUAGGGUUGCAAUGCAAUUCGGAACUGACGAAGAUCUUUCAGGGUUGUGUUGGUGAAUGCUCUAAUUUACAGACCUGAGAUUGCAUAGAGCUUCAAGCUUUUGUUGAAGAGCUUGAGCAGAUGAUCACACGAAUAAAAGCAGCAAGAUUAAGACUAAAAUUGUUAACCUAGCUAGUCUUCUUAGUGAGAAUGAUUUGCUUGAUUUUUUUUGCUUUGGUAGUUAUGUUAGCAACUCAAGUUUGGUUUUGAAAAAUGAAGCAGAUGAAAGUACUGUUUGGGCUUUAAGCUUUUCAUGACCACCCGGGAGAUUGAAUUUUUUUUUUAAUAGUAAACAGUGAAUUAUAUAUUUAACAGCUCCAUUAAGUAGGUGGAACUGAACGAAAAAUAAAAUACAAUGAAAAUAUAAAAGAAUAGAGAAGACCAAAGCGACGACGAACCUAACAUGGGAGAUUGAAUUCCUGGCUUCUCUUCUUCUGUUGGCUAUGCUACUAACAUGGUAGUAGAGCUUUGGACUGUCAGGCAUGGCGUCAGUAUCGCCAAAGAGAGCUUUAUGGUCUUUUUGUACUUUGAUUGAAGGCUUAGUUAAAGGACUAUAUUGCCCUUCAAAUAAAAAAUGAUAGAGCUUGUGUUUAGGGGCGCUUAGGUCUUUUCAACACGGUUAUUUUGUAAUUAUGUAUUUAGAUGAGGGGUAAUUAAGUCUUUGACCAUAUAUAGAAAAAAGAUUAAAAAAAUGGUUGAUGUGUGUCACGUACACAUUAGCAAGACGAAGGCGUCCACGCUCUUUCGGUGAUGUGUGUCGCCCCUCUUGGUGGUUAAAAGACUUCGUCAAUGAUGAUAUUUGAAACGGUAUUGGCGAGAUAAAUCAAAUAAUAACAAUAAAGGUGAUCAACAAUUAUUGAAGUUUUCACACGCGAUGAGUGGCUUACCUGUUUUUGGACAAAGAGUGUGGUCCACUUCGAUUACUAUUGGUAUUGAUGAUCUUUCUUGGUGUUAAUGAAUUCAUUUCACCAAAAUCUUUUUUAUAGACCUGAUAAUGUUAAAAUCGAAGAUUCAGUGUGUCUAUGAAGUUUUUGUUCUUUCUCUCUCUCUCUCCUUAUUGUUAUUUGCACAACACAUUUAAUUUUUUUUAAAAUGUUAUAUGUUUUUCUUAAGAAGAACUAUGAAUGUCGUGUUUUCAACUGCGAUAUAUAUCAAUUGUGUUAUUUCAUCAAUUAUUUUUCAAGUCAUGUUAUUUUUUUAUUUUUUUAUUAUGACAUGUAUUAAAUGUGCUAUUUCAUUAAUAGUUUUUUUUUCAAAUGUGUUAUUUUACUAUUUGUUUUUUUAAAAAAAAAACUAUGUUAAUUAUUGAGUGUUUGUUUUUUUAUUACAGUCUGUUUUUAAAAUUGCUUUUCGUAAAAAAAAACAUUAAAUUAAUGCUUUUUAGUGAGAAUUAAUAAUUUUUUUUCAACAAGAACUACGAUGUGUAUCAAAUGUGCUAUUUCAUUAAUAUAUAUAUUUUUUUCAAAAUGUGUUAUUUUACUAUUUGUUUUCUUUUAAAAAACUAUGUUAAUUAGUGAAUGUUUGUUUUUGCAUUACAAUUUAUUUUUAAAAUUGAUUUUUGCAAAAAAAAAAGCAUUAAAUUAUUUCUUUUAAAUUUUUUUGGAUGGUUUUGUAUGUUGAUAUAAAUAAUAAAUAAAUAAAAUUAUUUUAAAAUAUUUUCAAUUAAAAAACACUACACAACGUAAUAUCAAAUACACAAUUAAUUUAUAUUAUAAUUAAUGUUCGCAUCCGCCCAAUUCUCUUUGUGGACACAUAAAAUAUAUUCUAUUAAUGCAUGUAAAGUUAAUGAAUACAGUUACAAAAUGGUUUUCUCAAAAUUAUAAAAACAUGCCCCAUGGUUCAAUUAUAAAGCAUAUCUACUUUUCUGGCGCUGCUCUACGACAAUCAACGUUUUUCAAGGAAAACAUCGUGAAAUCUAGGGUUAAGACUAAGAAAGAAGAUGCAAGGUACAACAAUCAGAUUAGCGAGAAGAACAAGCAUCAAAGUUCUGGAUGGAGAAUUAUCGUAUUGUAAUAAGAAGUUCCAGUUUUCCAGACUGCAACAGUAGAAAUGACAAGGACACCUGCUAAGAAGGCCAGUAAUCUGUCGUCAAUGAAGAAAUUCAUGGAUAGUGGCAGCGAGAUUUAGCAUGAAGCGUUUAGCUUGUUUUCUCUAUUGUAAUUCAUGUCGCUAGAGCUAAUAGAAUUGCACUUGCACCUGCUG
rnacentral:lncRNA from 1 species